GCCCAUUUAUAACUGCAGCAUUUAUAUUACAGAGAAAAGGGAAGGAUGAACUCUGAGGAAAAAUCAUAGUCCUAACUAUAAAAAUGAAUGUAAAGUGUGUAUCACAGAUGAAUUGGCUGACAUAUUUGCAUGUGCUUUUUCUCACAGGGGUCAAGAAUAAUUCAUAUGGGCACCCUGCUGCUGCUGCUGCUAAAUCACUUCAGUUGUGUCCAACUCUGUGCGACCCCAUGGACUGCAGCCUACAAGGCUCCUCCGUCCAUGGGAUUUUCCAGGCAACAGUACUGGAGUGGGGUGCCACAGGCUGUCUAAUUUAAAAAGCUUUCUUAGCAGAAUAAUGCUGGGCCAACAGGUCAGAAAAAGAUACGGUCUCAACAGCAUUAAGCAGGAAGAGUGUGACUUUCUCAUCCAGACCCUGCAGAGCCUGCCAAGGACAGCAGUCACAAGUCCUUGACAGCUCGGCCUGCCCUUCUCAGAGCGAGGAGAGGAGCACGGCCCUUCACAGGAUGCCUGGUCCUGGGGUGAGUGAGGAUGGCACAGGGGCGACGUCUAGGACAGAGACACAGGAGGAGGAAACGCCUGUGCUGAGGAUGCAGACUGACCAGGAGACAAGAGAAGAGCUCACGAAUCAGAGACCGAGGCCUUCCCUGGCAGUCCAGAGGUCCAGACUCUGAGCUGCCACAGUGGGGCUGUGGGUGUGACCCCUGGUUGGGGAACUAAGACCCCCAUGCCGGCAGCACAGCCAGCAAGAAAAACAAACAACAACCAUACGGAGUAAAGAGAUCCAAAGGCCUGGGCGGCAGGGCUGGGCUGGUCCUUGACAGAGCCCAGGUCCUCCUCCCCUCAUCCCCCACUCCAAGCAUUCUGGAACAUGCAGCUAAAGCCUUACUGGAUCUUCCUGGGAUUCAGUGUGCACCGAUGUCAAGGACAGGAGGCAGUAGGCGUUCCCACUUUAUUCCCUGGGGGAGCUGGGAGGCCACUGCUUAUCUGGAGAAACAAGAUCAACCUCCCCCGGACUCCAUCCUAUACCCACAGCACACCCACCACCACCAAAAGAAGACAGAAACCAGCUCUGGGGGUAGAAAGAAGCACUCAAACUGACUUACAGGUGGAGGCAUCAUGGAAAGAGCUCUGAUUUCCUGCAAACCCCUCAGUUUAAUCCUGACCAUUCAGGUCAGCCAGUCUCCCCAAAGAUCUAUUCUUAGCCUUCGUAUUACUCUCUUUGAGCCCCUUACCUCUCCUGCCAUCAUUUCCUGAAGCAGGAAAUAAAAACACAAAUUUCCUGAUACA
rnacentral:lncRNA from 1 species